GAAAUUAGCUCCGCCCACUUGCGCGUAGCCACUCUGAAUCGAACGCACCUCUCCAAUAUGGCGGACCAAUUACGCUAGCUACCUAGCUGGCACAUUUGCUUUAGUUGCUCCUUCCUUGUUGCAGUCGGAGGAAACAAAACCCCAUCAACCCAGAGCCACUAGUUUCCAGGGGACGUGUUUGCAGCUUGAAUUCCUCUCUCCAGCAGAGUUUUUUUUGCUACUACUUCGUUUCAUCAAGGUUGGAGGAAAGAGUCUCCAAGGUGACACAGCUUGGUGUCAAUAGGAGAAGGUCGCACGGCUUUAGAAGGCUCCAUGGUUUCAGAUGUUCCCUCUGCACCGUGCGUACCUGGAUCGUGCAGCGGUUCUGGCCAAACGCGUGCUUCAGCAACGGUAUCAUGAACUAGUUCACUUCCUGCCACGACCAGACCUGAGAUGCCGUUGGUUCAGCGCCUCCCGAGGUAAAACGGCCACUGGGAAACGAAUGCGUGUGAUUUGAAAACACUGGUAUUCUGUUGUGAUGUGAGUCAAACCUCCUGCCGCUGUAAACGUCCACCUACAGGACCUGAGCCUGCAGCUGAUGAGCUGUUUCCUUCCACGGGUCCACGACACACAACAAAUCAUAGUAUAAUAGUAGCUUUUUUGUUGUACGUUUGGCAGAAAGGUGCAACAACAUUCUUGUCUGCUCACGCAAAAUCGAAACCUUUUCAAAUCUCACUGUAUGAAAGUCCAAUGACUCUGUGUCUGUUGGUUCAGCUGAUUUGUAAAUGUGGACAUAAUUUGCUGUAUUAACUUACACCAUCAACAACGUGAAGAUUGGGUUUAGAAGUCUAGAACUGGAUAAUGUUGAUGCAGUCUGCUAGUGAUUCUGUCCAUUAAACACUUUCAGAUUCUGGUUGUGGACAGUCAACAUCAGAACUUUUACAGUAGGAAACAUUCAACAUUAUAUUAGAGAAACUAACUUUAAAGAUUAGUCAAUUAUCAAAUUUGUGAAUGUUUUUAGCCCGACCCGGCCUUGGUCUCAAACCUCUGGAGUCUCAACCUCCUCUGCUCUGGCGUGAGGCUGUGUGAUCUAAUCAGAUUUAUUCCAUUAAUGUGGCUGCAUUUGUGUAAUAAAGCUUUGUGUUUGGACAUAGAAGUGCCUGGAGGUGGGACGAUCAUCUCUGACCUCUGCAACGAGGCCUCUCUAAUCAGCUGCGCAGCAGAAGCAGCUGGAAGCGAUCGUAAGUGCUCGGAAGGUCACGACGGAACGACAACCUGUGUGUAAUUGUUUUAUUCUGAAGCAGCCUUGGAGCGAGCGGAGAAAGCGGUUAAAAGGCUGGUGUUUUUACUGGCGAGCGCAGGAGACCUUGAAGGCAGCACAUGUGACACCGUUGCGAUACCGACCCGUGAAGGAAACCAUGGGCUCCGCUGCUGCUUGGGAAAGAAAACCCCGGUGACCUCGUCGAGCGAAGCUUCAGGUGAAAUUUCAUUUCACAGCGCAUUAGUGAUCUAAUGAUGUGGUGACGGUUCCCCUGCAGGGUCCUGGUGUUGACACGGACCCGACGCCUGCUGGGCUCCACGGACCCGCUACCGUUGGAGGGCUGCACGCGGCCGCGCUGCCGGCCUCCGGAGCCGGGACCUUAGCAACCAGCAUGGAUGCAGAACGGCUCCUAUGACACCACAUCCCGAGCGGCCAAGACAUCAGGCACGCGUCGGCCUCAAAAACACAGGCCCCUCAUUCAUUCAGCCACAGGGAGUGAAAUUAGAAAGACCCUUCAGCCCUGAUCGGAACCACGGGAACGAGCCCUCCACUGCUUUCCUCCUCUUAAUGUGUAAUUCCACUGACAUAAUGGGAUCCUGUACAUUCAGCAGGUAACUCCAUCGACGAGGCUUUAUGGGCAGCCAUCAGACCUCCACUCAGAAAAGAAACCGAGCCCCAGCUCCCAUCCGCUCGUUCACUACAGGUUCUGGACGGGUUUUUGCCGCUGUUGUUUGUGAGCUGUGAGGAAAGUGGGGCUCUUACUGUACCUACAGAGGCCAGCUUUUGUCUGAGAGAGGUUUUUGUUGGACCCGCUCCACAUCACCUCAUGUUUGAGAUUACGGCCCAAGCCACCCAGACAGCAGAGCGGGAUCCAGGAGGAAUUUUUUAAUAAAUUUGUUGAGCAUUAUACAGAACAAAUGCUUUUUUUAGUCGUGGCUGCCUGUUUGCUGGACAUAAAGGGAAGAACGCUUAUAAUAAUGACUGACUGAUGUUUUCUUAUGACAAAUCCCCUCUUUUGUAAUGAUUAGUUUUUUCUAAUCACCUUCUCAACAAGCCUGUUAAGUCUAAGUUUUUGUCCAGUAUUUGGCUUCGAGAGAGACCACACCACUGCUUCUUGAUUCCAGGGGCUCGUGCAACUUGUUCUUGCAUGUUCUUAUCCAGGAUUCAAUCAGAGCCGACCCUCACUCCGCGCUCCAGCUCGCUAAUCCCCCGUCGAGCGCCUCACUGUGUCGGCUGCUGUUUGUAGUCAAGUCUCCUACGACCCCGGCUGAAGGUCGCGUCGUGUUCCUUUCAGCUCCUCCGCCUGAUUCACCUGAGCAGGGACGUCCCUGCUACUGCAUCCGUUGCCGCUGAGGGGAACCGGGCUUCUCAUGAUUCGAUGGGCCUUUCCUUCAACCCAGUUUGCGGAGCUGGAGGCUCAAGCGGACGAUUCCCCUGAAGCUGUUGAACCUGCUGCACCUGAACCCAUCAGGGCGUCUGCUCAGACCAGCUGAUCAGACCCGAUCCUGGCUCUGACCUGCACAUCAGCCCAGUCCAGCAUCUCAGCAGAGGUCACGCGUGUGCAGGGCUCCACCAGCACCAGCCUCUUCACUGCCUCCUGGCAUCAUCAAGGUCAGCCUCGACUACACGCCUGAGGACAUUAAAGAUGUUAUGGACUGAGUGAAGAGGUUGCUCCUUGAAGCCGUUUCCUUAAUGGCACCACGUGGCAUUAAAGGAAGCGCGUGACCGAGGCCGAGCGCUGGAUGUGGUUAAUUGAAUGAGGACAAGUCGCUGACAGCAACGAGACGCAUCACGGGAUGGUACCGGGCUUUUAUGGCAGACGUCUGUCACUGCUGAAUGAGAGGGUCCACAGCUCCGGACCCACCCGGCGCCGCGGCGCUUGCACAGGGCUCUUAUGUGAUUUAGAGCCAGCGUGUCUGCGUGAGCAGCUCCAGCCCAGGAGAGGAAACGCAUGUGGAGCAGCAGUUUCCCGUCGGACUGAACCGUCCCGACCGGCUGCUCCGUUCUCACUGAAGACCUCGACGCCCCGGCGUAGCUUCAGAUUUGUCAGCUUGGGUACAAAAACGCUGAUUCACAAAAGCUCCUUGAAAGUCGCCAUCGUCGGCCUGGGUUUUCCAGCCAGUGUGGGCUGCGUGUAACCCGACAUGUCUACGUCUAAUUGCUGAGAUUGAAGAACAGUGGACGGUUUGAUUUUCCCCAUGUGAAAGUAGUGUUUCCAUGUCGGAAUCCACACCCACGACACCAGCCCUCAGCGCAAACAUUUAUUUCGCGUCUCGGCGUUGUUUACAAACUGCCGGUGACAGCCCCUCUCAUUACGCCGUUCCCUACAGAGCCUCUCAUGCAGGACAUUUUUGGAUUUGCCAAAAUGACUUCAUAAUUAUCAUCAUUUCAUAAUAAAGCCGAUCAGCGUCUCACCAGAACCGGUGGCUGACGUCAGGCGCCGACCAGAGUCGGCUCGUUCCAAGUUCCGUAAAGGCCCAGACACAAACACAUUAUGCGCUGCCGUGGGUUUGGACGUUUGCGUUUAUCCUGAGGAGUGAAGACAUCAUGGAAACGAGGAGCCGCUGAGGGGACAAAACCCGGUUCUAGUAGGACUCUGAACGUUUGACAGAACCCGCCUCAUCCAAGCAUGAAGACCACGAGAGGGAAAACGGAUCCUCGGCGUCCUCUCGCGCCGGUGUCUCAACCACGACCGCCCCUCUCCCCUUUGUCUUUGGCUUCGCCACAUUGGAUGAAAUUCAAUGCGUCGCCCUUUGUCGUCCUUUUUGUCGACGGUCUCUUUUUGGCCGUUGCUGUGAAACCGUUCGACCUUCGUCACUGUCAGAAGGUUCUGCAGCCUCCAGGACGGUUCUGACAGGAGCCUGAAACCAGCUGCGUUCUGAAAAGUCCGUCAGAUGCUGCAUAAGAUCCAAACAAAGCAAUCGGAACCACAGCAUCGCUCUCGUGUCCUUGAAACAAGAACUGUGGUGCAGGUCUGAGCAUCCGUGUUUUCUCUGUCACCAGUAGAAGUGACGUGUGACUCCUCGUGCUGUCCUACCCUGUUUUUUCCCCCGUCCCCUGAAAAAUGUCUGAGGAUUCUUCGCUCGAGCCAAGAGAUUCUGCAGGCUACAAACAGCUGGAGGCCUCAAUUAGGCCUAAAGGCAAUUAGGGUGAAACCAGUGGAGCGCAGACGUAUUAAUGUAUCGUGCAAAGGCUCAUUCAAAGAAUCUUAAGGUCAGUGUGUGUGAGUGUUUGCAGCGCCCGGCCUCUCCUCGAUCUGUUUUCCAUCCAUUCCGAGGGACGAGUGGUUUCAGGCCACAGCACCUGGGUCUGUGAGAGAAGGUCCCGAGCAGCGAGUCCCAGGACGCGUGAUGCUCUGGCACCGUCCACAGAGGAGCUGGACUCUGCAGGGGAUCACAGUCAGAAAGGAGGCGUUUUAAGGGCUUCUCGCUCCCCGGCCUGUUUUUUCCAGCCCAGCCAGCGAGACGGUGUCACAUCCUGUCCGCAGCUGCGCGUCCUCACACUCGGGUUUUGCUCGUACCUCAUAUAAUUUUGCAACCACUGGGAACUGCCUCUGCUUCUGACAUGCGAGGCUUGCAGGGGCCACGACUACCAGAAUAAUCACGUACUCCGCUCUGAAGACUGCGGCCAUUGUCUGGAGGAGAACUAAUGGCAAACAUGACUUUUAUGGAUCUGUGGCGCCGCGGUUUUGACUUCAUCUUUACCAAACUCUGUCUUCAAUGCAAUCAAACGCCGAUCACAUCAAGUCCAGCGUCUUUAAUUCAAACUCUCAGAAACAGAAGGGAUGAUUUUGUGUGAAGUGAAGAGAUGUUGUCAAACGGACCCGAGCGGCUGCGACCGCUCAGCCCUCGGUCUCUCAGCGACUUGGCUCCGGCUCCAGGUUCUGGUUCUGCGUCGGCUCCUUCAGCUCCGGACUCCGAGCGCUCUCCGGAGGUUGUGGCCCGGCUGGAACGCGUCCACAAACACAACUGGCGCUGUCACGCACGUUCACAGUUUUUAUGCUCUCGUAAACUCCCUCGCGCCCUCGCUGGUACGUCACCCCCCUCCACACGCACACACACACACGCACACACACACACACACACACACACACACACACACACACACAAGACGGGAACCCACUUACUGUGGCUUCUGUUCACAGUGCAGCUGCUCUUUUGACAGUUUUACCCUGUUUUAUCUGUGACAGACUCAGACCUUUUUUUUUUUUUUUUGGUAAAGUUCAGCUUUUUUCUAUCCUCACUUCAAGGAAAGGUCCAGUCACACAUUUGAGCUCCAAUGUUUAGGGCAUUUUCUUGCAUCUCGAUUUUUGAUUUCAGAGUUAAAACACUGAAUUUGGUCAAACUGGAGGUGGAACCAACAGGUGUUUGGACCAAACUGCUGCUGCUUUGCUUCUAGUGUGAAGAUGAAGGCUUCAUUCCAGCUUUGUUCCAGAAGAAAAGAGCACAUCUAUUGGUUCUGAUGUUGGCUGACGGCGACAUGAUUCCAGGACAGCGAAGCCCCACAACCGUCCCACGACCCUGGAGUCGAGGCUUCAGUGCUGCGGCUUCAGAGGCCUGGACUCCCACUGCCACUCCCACUCCCCCUCCCACCACAGACCUCCACCUGCCAGUGUGGCUGAUCCAGUUGCUUCGCAGGCAUUUUUACAUCUGGCACUCGUGCUGCGUGUGUUUUUGCCUUUGGUGCCAGGUGUAAACGACACACUGGACUCCAGGAAGUCACAGCCGACGCAGUCGCCACAAAGCGCCUGCGCUCGCGUCACGCAGCGCUCGGUCACGUUGCACAUGCUUUGAUCCAAGCUUAAGUGAAAGCAGGAUGCUUUAGGACGAGCUUGACUCUCAGAUGUCGCGCCUCCAGCUGCCUCGGGGAUUUCUCUCUGAGGAACCGCGGCCACAAAUUGGUCAAGUGAGAAUGAAGGCGUCCACGAGCGCUCGCCAUCAGCACGCCGCAACCCGAGCAGCGAAACCGCGCCGUCUGUGACUCAACGAGCGAGGGAGGAAAGACAUCUUGUUUUUCAGCGCGCUGUUAACGCGGGUCCAGGAUUCGUUGAGUUAAUCCAAAGCAAAUAUCUAAUUCAGAGCUGAACAUGACGGCCCAACGAUGUGGAUUUAACCUCAGCCUGGAGCCGUGGGAGGCGCUGACACCAGGCCGACACCGACCUGCUCUGCAAACCUCAGGCUCCGCCCCCGGCGCUGGUCUCGGCGCUCAUCUGCAGCGCGGCUGCGUUACAUGCAGCCGUCCGGGAUGUGUCUGUGCCAAGAAGCUCCAUCGUCUCCUGUGCUCGUCUGGAGGACGUCAGCGGCGGUGAAGACAGAGGCCAACGCUCGCGUUGCAUCACGUUAACAGCGCGGAGCCAGGACUCCGUGAAGGCGUCAGAGGCUCGGCCCCGACAGAGGCUCCGCUCUAAUUAGAAGGUCAGAGGUCAGACGCUAACGGGGGAAUUUUAAUUAAACGAUCGAUUUCCAAAAUACUGUCCAUGUGUUUUGGAAACACUCAGUCACUGGAGACCUGUGCAGUUUAGAGCUCUGCUUCUGUCAAACGGGCUUUAGUCAUCUGUCGACUUGAAAACGGGCCAAAAUGUUUUCAUUUCAUGCUUUUUGUGAUUUUGCAGAACUGAACAUUCCUUCGUUCACUGAAACGUUUUUACAUUUUGUAAAAAAUACUUUUACUAAUUACUAUUACUAUUAAAUUACAUUGGUGAUUAUUUCCCAUAAUGCACCUGCAGUCAAGUCUGGGUCAGAACCUCUGCGUCACUGCAUCUACUUUAUUCUAGCACUUAGAAAAGACCUGGACCGAAGACACAUGAGCAAGAAUCUUUACAGACACAAUAUAAACUCUAAAAACGUGCUUAUUAAAAUGGCAAAAGGUGAAGAGAGACUUCCGUCCGGUUUGGGGCCUUUGGACAGUGACCUGAUUUAUUCCAGCGCGUCUUCAGGUUUCACGUUUCCAUUCUGCUGCUCUGUCUUACGAACUUACUACAACCCUAGUAAUAAAAACCACUCAGUCUCCAUUGACUGGAAUUGAUGUAUUUAUUCUGGAGCUUGUGCAUGAGAACGCAACCACAUGCUCGUGCUCCGUGCUGUGAUGCACAAACUGUAGUUGGAAACAUUUAGGGACAUUCUUGAUUAAAUUAAGUUAAAUCUGACCAGAAAGCUGUUGUACGAUGUUGUUGCAGGUUCUCUAGGUGCUUUACGGUAAAUAAUAAAUGAGCUUUUGUACUUUCUCACUAUCAACGAAACG